GGUGACUUUUGUUUGGAUACCCUAAAGGACUGUACAUCUUACGGUAAAUCUGUUUGUACCCAGUAUGCGUCGUGGGCCUUAACUCACUGCCAGAACUUCUGCGAUUUAUGCGACAUCACAACAUCCACAACUACAACGUCGACGACAGCGACUACUGUCACAACAACGUUUUCAGCAUGCAAAGAUACCGACGGCUUCGAUUGCAAGUGGCUCAGUGAUACCAAUGACAUAUGCUCCGAAGAAAGCCUCGGCACAUCUGUACUGCCCAAAAUUCUGUAACAUCUGUGGAGAGAGGAAGGCAGGGCUUGUUGGGCGCUAGCGUGUGAAGUUAUACCGUUCAACAACGCCCGCAUCAUUUUACAGUACAACCAGAAAUUAUUGAGAAUUUAAAGAUUGUAAUUUUU